GACGAACGCUGGCGGCGUGCCUAAUACAUGCAAGCCGAACGCUUCUUUCCUCCCGAGUGCUUGCCCUCAAUUGGCAAGAGGAGUGGCGGACGGGUGAGUAACACGUGGGUAACCUACCCAUCAGAGGGGGAUAACACUUGGAAACAGGUGCUAAUACCGCAUAACAGUUUAUGCCGCAUGGCAUAAGAGUGAAAGGCGCUUUCGGGUGUCGCUGAUGGCUGGACCCGCGGUGCAUUAGCUAGUUGGUGAGGUAACGGCUCACCAAGGCCACGAUGCAUAGACGACCUGAGAGGGUGGUCGGCGACACGAGAGCUGAGACAGCGACAAUACUCCUAAGGGAGGCAGCAGUAGGGAAUGUGAGGCAGUGGACGAAAGUCUGACCGAGCAACGCGGCGUGAGUGAAGAAGGUUUUCGGAUCGUAAAACUCUGUUGUUAGAGAAGAACAAGGACGUUAGUAACUGAACGUCCCCUGACGGUAUCUAACCAGAAAGCCACGGCUAACUACGUG
rnacentral:rRNA from 1 species